GGUUGAUCCUGCCAGUAGUCAUAUGCUUGUCUCAAAGAUUAAGCCAUGCAUGUCCAAGUAUAAACCAAAAUUUAUACGGUGAAACUGCGAAUGGCUCAUUAAAUCAGUUAUAGUUUAUUUGAUAAUCACUUACUACAUGGAUAACCGUGGUAACCCAGAGCUAAUACAUGCACCGUAACUGAAUGCGCAAGCGUUUGGUUGUAUUUAUUAGAUUACAAACCAGCGACGGCAUCACCCGAUGCCACCUUUGGUGAUUCAUAAUAACUGAGCGGAUCGUAUAGCCUUGUGCUGA
rnacentral:rRNA from 1 species